rnacentral:misc_RNA from 1 species
GAUGAGAACGUAGCGAAAUGCGAUAAGUAAUGUGAAUUGCAGAAUUCAGUGAAUCAUCGAAUCUUUGAACGCACAUUGCGCCCCUUGGUAUUCCGGGGGGCAUGCCUGUUCGAGCGUCAUUUCAACCCUCAAGCUCUGCUUGGUAUUGGGCACCGUCCUUUGCGGGCGCGCCUCAAAGACCUCGGCGGUGGCGUCUUGCCUCAAGCGUAGUAGAAUACACCUCGCUUCGGAGCGUAAGGCGUCGCCCGCCGGACGAACCUUCUGAACUUUUCUCAAGGUUGACCUCGGAUCAGGUAGGGAUACCCGCUGAACUUAAGCAUAUCAAUAAGCGGAGGA